UAUUUUUUCAAAUUUUAAUCUUGUUUUUACAAUUGUUACGUAUUUUUACUAACACUGCAUUUGAAUUUAGCACUAAAUUUUGGACAAAUUUUUGAUUGGUUGUUUGGUACUUUUCUGCCAUUAUGUCAAUGAAAUACCUUAUAUUUAUAUAUCAUGAAUUCGACACACCGAGAAUAUGCAUUUCCUAUAGCAAAAAUGAGAGACUAGCAGUCCAUAUGUUUAUAGUCAAAGUGUUCAUACUAUAUGUAAUACUCUUCUUGCUAACGCAACCUCUUUUUUGGAGUGAGGAGUGUGCGAAGAUAGAGACUAUCGGAUCACUUCCACAGUGUACUUCGAAUGUACGCAUGCGCUGGCAUAAGUAACAAAGCAUUUUUGUUUCUUUUUUUAAAUACUUUUAUAUAAACAACAAUGUUGGACAUGCGUAUAAUUAUAUACUCAAUAUGCACUACGCAAUACAUGCGAACGCGGAUCAGUACAGAUGUACGUGAUUAAAUUGAUUAGAAACACGCGUUUGCGUACUGAAGCGGGCAUCUAAGUGAGAGGUAAAUAUCUGCACCGUGGUGUUUCCGCCAGCUCUUAAUUCGCGUUAGCAAUAUAGUAUUAUAAUAUUACAUAUAAAUAUACAUACUACUGCUAGUACAAUUAUUGCUUUAUUUAUCAUUCCAAGGCUGUGUUUCAAAUUUACUGCCAGCACUAAAAAUGCUACAGUUUACGUGCACUAUAGAUUUUCAGUACUGACAGUCAAUUUUGGCACACAUCCUGAGUCUUCGCUCGGAUACACGUCAUUUGCAGAUAUAAAUCCAUCUUUUGAAGCUUUCAACUUCAGUUUCACAUACUCAAUAUUGUUUGUGUACGUAAUACGCUUGCUGCACUGUCGUUUGGUCCAUAUGAGCUAUAGAACUUUUAUAUUAAGGAAAUAUCUAUGUCAGGUGACAAUUCUACGAGUUGAACAAAAAUGUAAAAAUAUAAAUUUUUAUCAAUAUAAAUAACUCUGACCUAGAGUCCUAUAUUUAUAAGAAAAGCGCGACCGGGCGACUUAUGUUAGUAUCGCAAAAAUACUAAAAAUAAUGAAGUGGGAGAAAACUACAGAAAAUCUUUCAUGGUCUUUAAUUCUCCGAGAUUAGUACAACUUAUAACUUUUUCGGCCAAUAGGAGAGAGCACGAAGGAUCAUUUCCUGCACGAGGAUUGCAUUAGAACUGAACUGAAU
rnacentral:lncRNA from 1 species